rnacentral:lncRNA from 1 species
AUGCGCCCGGCUGUCCCCAGGGCAGAGCCUCCCUCCCUGCCUCCCGCCAUCACUGCCCUGGGUUGUUCCUGUCCUGGGUUUGUCCCUGUCCCCCCUGGUCCCUGUCCCACCAUCACUGCCCUGGGUUUGUCCCUGCCCUGGCUUUGUCCCUGUCCCCCCUGGUCCCUGUCCCGCCGUCGCUGCCCUGGGUUUGUCCCUGCCCUGGGUUUGUCCCUGUCCCGGGUUGUCCCUGUCCCCCCUUGUCCCUGUCCCGCCAUCACUGUCCUGGGUUUGUCCCUGCCCCGGGUUGUCCCUGUCCCCCCUUGUCCCUGUCCCGCCGUCGCUGUCCUGGGUUUGUCCCUGCCCCGGGUUGUCCCUGUCCCCCCUUGUCCCUGUCCCGCCGUCGCUGUCCUGGGUUUGUCCCUGCCCCGGGUUGUCCCUGUCCCCCCUUGUCCCUGUCCCGCCGUCGCUGUCCUGGGUUUGUCCCUGCCCCGGGUUGUCCCUGUCCCCCCUUGUCCCUGUCCCGCCGUCGCUGUCCUGGGUUUGUCCCUGCCCCGGGUUGUCCCUGUCCCCCCUUGUCCCUGUCCCGCCGUCGCUGUCCUGGGUUUGUCCCUGCCCCGGGUUGUCCCUGUCCCCCCUUGUCCCUGUCCCGCCGUCGCUGUCCUGGGUUUGUCCCUGCCCCGGGUUGUCCCUGUCCCCCCUUGUCCCUGUCCCGCCGUCGCUGUCCUGGGUUUGUCCCUGCCCCGGGUUGUCCCUGUCCCCCCUUGUCCCUGUCCCGCCGUCGCUGUCCUGGGUUUGUCCCUGCCCCGGGUUGUCCCUGUCCCCCCUUGUCCCUGUCCCGCCGUCGCUGUCCUGGGUUUGUCCCUGCCCCGGGUUGUCCCUGUCCCCCCUUGUCCCUGUCCCGCCGUCGCUGUCCUGGGUUUGUCCCUGCCCCGGGUUGUCCCUGUCCCCCCUUGUCCCUGUCCCGCCGUCGCUGUCCUGGGUUUGUCCCUGCCCCGGGUUGUCCCUGUCCCCCCUUGUCCCUGUCCCGCCGUCGCUGUCCUGGGUUUGUCCCUGCCCCGGGUUGUCCCUGUCCCCCCUUGUCCCUGUCCCGCCAUCACUGUCCUGGGUUUGUCCCUGCCCCGGGUUGUCCCUGUCCCCCCUUGUCCCUGUCCCGCCGUCGCUGUCCUGGGUUUGUCCCUGCCCCGGGUUGUCCCUGUCCCCCCUUGUCCCUGUCCCGCCGUCGCUGUCCUGGGUUUGUCCCUGCCCCGGGUUGUCCCUGUCCCCCCUUGUCCCUGUCCCGCCGUCGCUGUCCUGGGUUUGUC